AGUGAACGCUGGCGGUAGGCCUAACACAUGCAAGUCGAACGGCAGCACAGUAAGAGCUUGCUCUUACGGGUGGCGAGUGGCGGACGGGUGAGGAAUACAUCGGAAUCUACUUUUUCGUGGGGGAUAACGUAGGGAAACUUACGCUAAUACCGCAUACGACCUACGGGUGAAAGCAGGGGAUCUUCGGACCUUGCGCGAUUGAAUGAGCCGAUGUCGGAUUAGCUAGUUGGCGGGGUAAAGGCCCACCAAGGCGACGAUCCGUAGCUGGUCUGAGAGGAUGAUCAGCCAUACUGGAACUGGGACACGGUCCAGACUCCUACGGGAGGCAGCAGUGGGGAAUAUUGGACAAUGGGCGCAAGCCUGAUCCAGCCAUACCGCGUGGGUGAAGAAGGCCUUCGGGUUGUAAAGCCCUUUUGUUGGGAAAGAAAAGCAGCAGGUUAAUACCCCGCUGUUCUGACGGUACCCAAAGAAUAAGCACCGGCUAACUUCGUG
rnacentral:rRNA from 1 species